UGUGUGUUAGUGGAAGCGUCUGGAAAGGCGCGCGAUACAGGGUGACAGCCCCGUACACAAAAAUGCACAUGCUGUGAGCUCGAUGAGUAGGGCGGGACACGUGGUAUCCUGUCUGAAUAUGGGGGGACCAUCCUCCAAGGCUAAAUACUCCUGACUGACCGAUAGUGAACCAGUACCGUGAGGGAAAGGCGAAAAGAACCCCGGCGAGGGGAGUGAAAAAGAACCUGAAACCGUGUACGUACAAGCAGUGGGAGCCUCUUUUAUGGGGUGACUGCGUACCUUUUGUAUAAUGGGUCAGCGACUUAUAUUCUGUAGCAAGGUUAACCGAAUAGGGGAGCCGAAGGGAAACCGAGUCUUAACUGGGCGUUAAGUUGCAGGGUAUAGACCCGAAACCCGGUGAUCUAGCCAUGGGCAGGUUGAAGGUUGGGUAACACUAACUGGAGGACCGAACCGACUAAUGUUGAAAAAUUAGCGGAUGACUUGUGGCUGGGGGUGAAAGGCCAAUCAAACCGGGAGAUAGCUGGUUCUCCCCGAAAGCUAUUUAGGUAGCGCCUCGUGAAUUCAUCUCCGGGGGUAGAGCACUGUUUCGGCAAGGGGGUCAUCCCGACUUACCAACCCGAUGCAAACUGCGAAUACCGGAGAAUGUUAUCACGGGAGACACACGGCGGGUGCUAACGUCCGUCGUGAAGAGGGAAACAACCCAGACCGCCAGCUAAGGUCCCAAAGUCAUGGUUAAGUGGGAAACGAUGUGGGAAGGCCCAGACAGCCAGGAUGUUGGCUUAGAAGCAGCCAUCAUUUAAAGAAAGCGUAAUAGCUCACUGGUCGAGUCGGCCUGCGCGGAAGAUGUAACGGGGCUAAACCAUGCACCGAAGCUGCGGCAGCGACACUAUGUGUUGUUGGGUAGGGGAGCGUUCUGUAAGCCUGUGAAGGUGUGCUGUGAGGCAUGCUGGAGGUAUCAGAAGUGCGAAUGCUGACAUAAGUAACGAUAAAGCGGGUGAAAAGCCCGCUCGCCGGAAGACCAAGGGUUCCUGUCCAACGUUAAUCGGGGCAGGGUGAGUCGACCCCUAAGGCGAGGCCGAAAGGCGUAGUCGAUGGGAAACAGGUUAAUAUUCCUGUACUUGGUGUUACUGCGAAGGGGGGACGGAGAAGGCUAUGUUGGCCGGGCGACGGUUGUCCCGGUUUAAGCGUGUAGGCUGGUUUUCCAGGCAAAUCCGGAAAAUCAAGGCUGAGGCGUGAUGACGAGGCACUACGGUGCUGAAGCAACAAAUGCCCUGCUUCCAGGAAAAGCCUCUAAGCAUCAGGUAACAUCAAAUCGUACCCCAAACCGACACAGGUGGUCAGGUAGAGAAUACCAAGGCGCUUGAGAGAACUCGGGUGAAGGAACUAGGCAAAAUGGUGCCGUAACUUCGGGAGAAGGCACGCUGAUAUGUAGGUGAAGUCCCUCGCGGAUGGAGCUGAAAUCAGUCGAAGAUACCAGCUGGCUGCAACUGUUUAUUAAAAACACAGCACUGUGCAAACACGAAAGUGGACGUAUACGGUGUGACGCCUGCCCGGUGC
rnacentral:rRNA from 1 species